rnacentral:rRNA from 1 species
UACGUAGGUGGCAAGCGUUGUCCGGAUUUACUGGGCGUGAAGAGCGCGUAGGCGGCUUGAUAAGCGUGCGGUGAAAGCCCGGGGCUCAACCCCGGGUCGGCCGUGCGAACUGUCGAGCUGGAGCACUGUAGAGGCAGGUGGAAUUCCGGGUGUAGCGGUGGAAUGCGUAGAGAUCCGGAAGAACACCGGUGGCGAAGGCGGCCUGCUGGGCAGUUGCUGACACUGAGGCGCGACAGCGUGGGGAGCAAACAGG